GGAGUUUGGACCGUGUCUCAGUUCCAAUGUGGGGGACCUUCCUCUCAGAACCCCUACUGAUCGAUGGCUCGGUGGGCCGUUACCCCGCCGACUACCUAAUCAGACGCAUCCCCAUCCUAUAGCGGCAAGCCUUUGUUCCAUUUUAGAUGUCUGCAUUGGAAAACAUAGAGUAUUAAUCCGACUUUCGCCGGGCUAUCCUCUACUAUAGGGAAGGUUGGAUACGCGUUACUCACCCAUUCGCCGGUCGCCAUCAGAGACAGCAAGCUGCCUCCAUGAUGCCCCUCGACUUGCAUGUGUUAAGCCUGUAGCUAGCGUUCAUC
rnacentral:rRNA from 1 species